AUACGAAAGGUGCAAGCGUUGUUCGGAUUUACUGGGCGUAAAGAGAGUGUAGGUUGUUUAUUAAGUCGGAUGUGAAAUCCCGGGGCUCAACCUCGGAACUGCAUUCGAUACUGAUAGGCUAGAGUUUGGGAGGGGUAAGCGGAAUUCCGUGUGUAGCAGUGAAAUGCGUGGAUAUACGGAGGAACACCUGAGGCGAAGGCGGCUUACUGGACCAAUACUGACACUGAGACUCGAAAGCGUGGGUAGCAAACAGGAUUAGAAACCCCGGUAGUCC
rnacentral:rRNA from 1 species